AUGAGCAAAAACAAGUUUAGAGAAAUGAGUUACUCUCUAACAACGACGGCACCAUCACCCAAAACAACGACGGCACCAAAGCCAUCAUCUUCUUAUUUACCAGACGACUUAUGGGAACGCAUCUUCAAACUAAUCAACAGCGGCCACCACCGCACCCUCCAGCCUCUCUCCACCGUCUCCAAACAGUUUCUCUCCAUCACCAACCGUCUCCGGUUCUCCUUCAAAAUCACCGGUAAAAUCAUCCCUUACCUCCCUCGCCUCUUCCACCGCUUCCCUAACCUCACAUCCCUCGACCUCACUCUCCUACCCCAAACCCUCAACAUCGACGCUCUUCUCAUCCAAAUCGCAUCUCUUCCAUACGACCUACAAUCCUUAUCCUGCAACAACAUGCCGGGUUUCUGA